UCACAGGUCUGUGUUUAGCAAGUGUAUCAAAAUGCAUAAACUUAUUUGCCAUAAAUUGAGCUGGAACUGCACUGUACCCUCCCCUUGCUGUAGUUCCAGCCCAGACAGCAUUAGUACACCACCAGUGUUCCAUUGGUUGGUUGACAGUUGUGUGCCCAGGGCCAGGCUGGGCUGCUCUACAGGGCAGAGCCUCUGCCAUGAUAGGACAGAGCAGGGGGCGGCCGUCUUGUGAGCUGUGCUGGGCCACUUGCGGACUGUGGGCCACGGGUUGGGCAUGCCUGCUCUAAAUUAUCCAGAAUAUUCCAGAGGGGAGAUUUACACAUGCACUUGAUAUUUACACUGUGGUAAAAAUAAUGCUUUAUAGCUUGUGGAAUAGAUGGAGAAUACCACUAGUUGCUUUCUUUCAAGGUCUACAUACAGGGAAGACAUACUUAAUGCAGCCAUUGACUAAAAAUAAUGAAAUUUAUGUGGUAUUGACAAUAAAGUCAAAACUAAACCAGAUGAAAACAAACCGGAAGAGCAAGGCAUAUGCACUAAAUCAUUUUUCACCUCUUUAAGAAGUAACAUUAGUAUCCCUACUCAGGUCUCCUAAAAGGUUGCCUUAAUUCCUGAUAUUUGUGGUCUAACAAGUCAGCAUUUGAAGUGAUGUUAAGAUACACUAUUUAUUCUUUCUAUGUUAGAAUCACAGCUGGGUUUGCAUUGCAAGGAAACUUAAAGCCCACCCAGUUUCAAUUUCCCUGCUGUGGCCAGGGCUGCCAUUCACCACAUCAGGCUGCCUAGGGCCCCAGCCAACCUGGCCUUGAACACCAGAGAUCCACAGCUUCACUGGGCAGCUAUAUCUCACUUCCCUCUGAGUAAACAAUUUCUUUGAGUUCUGAUGCAAUCGUUCCCUGUGAAAAGGAUUUUAUUCUUUUUGGUAGAAAAGCACGUGAGUGCAGUGUAGUGGAAUGAUGGGAACUGCUUUAACUGCUAAGGGCCAUCAGCUGAGCCAGGCCUGCUGCUGGGCAUGCCCAGGCUGGUGGCCUCGUUUAUGACGCCUUUAAGAGUGAGUAGCACCUUAGAGAGGAUUUGAUCAGUUUAGGAUAUUUUUCCAUUGGAGUUUGCAUCAUCUGCAGUACCAGUUGCUCGGUGUUUCAGGUAUCAGCAUCCAGCCAGACAGGUGAAGGCUGCCUUCCUUGAGGGGGAAAAAUACUGUUGAUGCUUCAAAUGGAUCUGAAUACAAGCUUGAUGUCUGGAGCUGAUCGGGUGAAUCACAGCCCAGCAAUGCCCUUCUCUCGUGGCGAGUCCAGGCAGCUAGCCAAGACGUGGAUCUGUCUGCAUUGUAGUAGUCUGAAGCUGUGUCCUUAAAAUAAAAUGUCAUUGCUGUCAUUUCCUGAACAAUGCAAGCUGUGGUAUUAGGUUGUUUGAUAAUUGCUCAAAAAGUGAGAAAGGUAUGACUUAGAGC